UACAGAGGGUGCUAGCGUUAAUCGGAUUUACUGGGCGUAAAGCGUGUGUAGGCGGUUCGUUAAGUCGGAUGUGAAAGCCCUGGGCUCAACCUAGGAAUUGCAUUCGAUACUGGCGAGCUAGAGUACGGUAGAGGGCGGCGGAAUUCCGGGUGUAGCGGUGAAAUGCGUAGAUAUCCGGAGGAACACCGAUGGCGAAGGCAACCGCCUGGGCCUGUACUGACGCUCAGGCACGAAAGCUGGGGGAGCGAACAGG
rnacentral:rRNA from 1 species